GUGUUUCUCAUGGAUAGAUUCUGCACUUUACACAAAAUGUGUUGUGACACAUUAUCUCCUCACCAUGUAGCAAAGUGUACUUUGCAGCAAUUGAGGAGAAUCAGUUAAAUCCAGCCUGUACUUGUGUUCGGGCUCGUUAUUUAUAGUGAGUGUGGGAGUGUGUUGGCCCCUUCUGACAGCAUAUCAUGGCCAUCUCAAAUCCUGAAAGCACUUUUUUGUUGUUGUUGUUGCCACAGUAAAUGUUUAAGAAGUUUAAUCUCGAAUCUGUGAGCGAUUUGGAGACCAGUCUGUUCAUGACACAUUAACAAAAUUAGAGCAGGGAAUGUUUUGCUGAAGGAGCUCUCGUGCUUUUACAAGGAGUGAGGUUGUUGGGAGUGUGCUCCCUGCUGUGUGUGCUGCCAAGGCAGGGCCUCCAUGGCCCACAGUGAUGCCUCUGGAUGUCUUUGCCCAUGGUAUUCCAAAAAAAUUUAUAUUUUUAUUGAACCAGCCUAAGAGAUUUAGAAAAUCAAAUCUCAAGGUGUUAGAGAGGGCACUUAGCAUGGUGUGAAUUGGAGUUUCAACAGUGAGCAUAGCCAGAAGAAAAAGAGUUAAUUUUGCUUCAAGAAGAAGACAUGGAAAUAAUUUUUUUUCCUUGCUAAUUAAAUAUGAAACUGACUAACGGUAUGCAAGUGUAAUUUUCUUAUCUUAUUAGCCACGUUCAUUUCUGAAGUGAAUAACUACCAGCACUGGUACAGUAUAUGGGCAGAAUAAUAGUCAAACUGAUUUUUACUUUAAUCUCUGAAUACAAUUAGCAUAAUUUAAACUGUUAUAAGCUACAGCAGAUAGAAAUCACAUUAUAGAGACUGUAGGUGGAGAGGUGGGUGGUCACAUGCAGGGGGAAAACUGGAAGAGCACUUAAAAUACAGCCAAAUAAUAAGCAUUCAGGAGAAUGUAAAGCUACAUUGAGUUGAAAGGCACAUUAUUUCAAGAGAUGGGGGAAGAGAAGUGGAUAAUCAUGAACAAGGUUCAAGGACUUCUACUACUGCAGGGCCUGAUCCCAAGCAAUGCUAGGAGAGAGCAGCCCAGCGGAGAUGGACAGAUCACAUCUUGCCUGACCAGAUGAAAAGAGAAGAAAUCAGGAUAUGAUGGGGAAGGAAAGAGGCAGAGCCACCGUGUGAAUUUGGGUGUGCUGAAAGAAAUGAAAUCAUCAGGAUCUCUGUGAGCAGGACUUACCUUUGCACGGAGCUCAGGACAAAGUGAGAUUUGAUUAAUCUGCAAAAACAAUUAGCUGAUGUGCUGAGGACGUGUGGGAUCCCCAGAGAACUGUGUCUGAUGGAGUUUUACAUCUUCCACUUCACCUUCUGUGUCUUGCAAUCAACAGAGCCAAAGAAAAGCUUCUCUAUAUUGGGAAUGUAUUGAAAAAAACCUGAAACUGUUGUAACAACAUGUUUUGUUGAUAUGAAAUUAUUUUCUCUUUCUUCUCACCAGCCGCUAGUGAGGAAAAAAAGUUGAGGUGGAAGUGUAAUGACAAAUGAUUUACAGAUGGAUUCCUUUUUCACUGUAUUCCCAUUAAGAUGGGUUGUAAACACUUCACUUUCCUAGCCCAAGAUCUUUCUCAAAAUUUGUUCUGUUUAGGUUUAACUUGUUAGAUUUGGAAUAAACUCUUCAAAAGACUGAGCAGCUCUUGAGCCAACCCAACAGAAUUGAGGUGCCUCUGUCAUAGACUUUCAUUGAAAAAUUUUAUCUUAACAUGAGCUUUACCUGUGCAUCUGAUAUUUUAACACUAUGGAAUGUUUAUGUCCUGUUGAUUAAGCCUUUUAUUAAAACUUUAGAAAAAAUACAACAGAGCAAUUAAAAGUAUGUGUAUAUAUAAUUUCACAAGCAUUUUAGAAGUCCAUACAAUAAAACAAGCAUGUGCUUAUGCUAUACUUAUUUGUUUUCAUUAUUCACAAGAAAAAGUAAAUUCCACUUUUAUCUGUAAAACAGGGUAAUGCCUAAAUAUCUAAGAUUGUUGUAUUGUUUCUAUUUGAAAAAUAAAAAUGGUAAAAACCCCCAAACUUUAACUGUGAGUACUUUAGAGCAGGAGCGGCCAUUUCUGUCACUAUUUAUGUUCUGAUGGUGCCAAGAGGAUUCUUAUGUUUAAAAAGUCUUUAAAAGCCUGUAAUCACACAGAAUUUCCACAGGUGGAAAGCAACCAGAGCUCCACCAAAACGUAUAGAAGCUGCACAAAUAACAAAUAAUAAACAGCCCUGGAGUGCAGACACUGAUUUCCAAAUAAAGAUUGACAGAUCCUUUUAUUUCCUGCACAUUGUGUCUUAGGAUAAAUAAGAGAGCCCAGACAAAUCCUUUUGGGUUUGUGUGGUUUGUUUUUGUUUUUUUCUUUUUAAUAAAUGCAAGGUGGUUCAAAACCUUUGGUCUGAGCUUGAAUGUUGGGUCUACUUCUUCUUGGAACAUUGUG